rnacentral:rRNA from 1 species
CUCGCAUAGAACAACAAAAACUGACUGACAGGGCCCACUUGUCGGUCCGACAUGGCAUGUAUAUGUGUAUACCUUGCUGAGAUGGAACAUGGGUCCCACAUGUCAUCCACUCACUUCCUUUUUCCUCUCUUCUUCUUCCCCAUCCUCUUAUCCUUCCCCGUCGUCAUCUCUCUCUGGUCACCAACAUGCCUUAUAGCCCCGUCGUGCUUCACCAAACUUCGAAGGACGACGGCGAGAUCUGGCUGGAGCCCUCCUCCGCACGUUGGCUUGAUGGUGAGAUCCAACCGGUCCUCGGCCUUCUCCCACUGGGACACGCGCACCCCGCAGAUCCGUUCCCGAUGACGGGAGCUCCGGCAGAAGCGGUGGGCCGUGGUGGUGCAUCUCAGAUGCAGCCCUGGCGGCACUCGUGCUCGCGGCGGCGACCGCACCGGCGUGGCGCCCCUCGCCUCCCCGCCGCCUGGCGUCAGCUGAAUCCGAGGCCAUCUGUGCCCGUCGCCCUCCCCGCGCGCCCCCCUCCCCAUCUGUGCUCGCGGCGGCGACUGCACCGACAUGGCGCCCCUCGCCUCCCCGCCACCUAGCGCCCCUCGCCUAUUCGCCGCCUCGCGCCGGCCGAAUCUCAGGCCAUCUGCGCCCGCCGGCCCCUCCCCGCGCGCGCCGUGGUGGAGCGGCCUAGCCGUGCCCAUGCUCGCGGCGGCGACCGCACCAGUGUGGCGCCCCUCGCCAUAGCUCGUCCACGGUCGACAGCAGGAGGCGCUGCAGGCUGCAGCGAGCUUGGGCAGAGGCAACAACAUGGGGCUCUCGCCGGCGGCCGAGGUCGUGGAUGGCGGCACUGCAGGCACGGAGCGGCGGCGCGCAGGCGUGGUCGCGGGAUGGCAGCGGACGCGAGUGAGAAGGAGAGGGAGAGAGAGAAAAUUGAGGAGGAACAAGAAAGUGUGAGACAGACAAAUGGGGCCCCCAUCCACCUCAGCAAGUCAAACGUUGACUAGGACUAGUUUUAGC